CGUACACUCCUGCGGGAGGCAGCAGUGGGGAAUAUUGGACAAUGGGCGCAAGCCUGAUCCAGCCAUGCCGCGUGAGUGAUGAAGGCCCUAGGGUUGUAAAGCUCUUUCACCGGUGAAGAUAAUGACGGUAACCGGAGAAGAAGCCCCGGCUAACUUCGUGCCAGCAGCCGCGGUAAUACGAAGGGGGCUAGCGUUGUUCGGAUUUACUGGGCGUAAAGCGCACGUAGGCGGACUAUUAAGUCAGGGGUGAAAUCCCGGGGCUCAACCCCGGAACUGCCUUUGAUACUGGUAGUCUUGAGUUCGAGAGAGGUGAGUGGAAUUCCGAGUGUAGAGGUGAAAUUCGUAGAUAUUCGGAGGAACACCAGUGGCGAAGGCGGCUCACUGGCUCGAUACUGACGCUGAGGUGCGAAAGCGUGGGGAGCAAACAGGAUUAGAAACCCGUGUAGUCCCAUGA
rnacentral:rRNA from 1 species